GGAUCCAGACUUUGAUUAUGGCUCAGGAUGAACGCUGGCGGCAUGCCUAAGACAUGCAAGCCGAACGAGGCGACCUUUGGAAGACCGAAGUGCUUGCACUGAAGUAAGAAGAAGAUCAUCGUCUAGUGGCAGACGGGUGAGUAACACGUGGGUAACCUACCUUCAAGCUGGGGAUAACAGUUGGAAACGACUGAUAAUACCGAAUAAGAUAUAGCAAUAUAUUGAAAGGAGCCUUUAAAGCUCCACUUAAAGAUGGGCCUGCGGCGUAUUAACUAGUUGGUGAGGUAAUGGCUCACCAAGGUAACGAUGCGUAGCCGAACUGAGAGGUUGAACGGCCACACUGGGACUGAGACACGGCCCAGACUCCUACGGGAGACAGCAGUUAGGAAUAUUCGUCAAUGGGGGAAACCCUGAACGAGCAAUGCCGCGUGAGUGAUGAAGGCCCUAUGGGUUGUAAAACUCUGUUGUAUGGGAAGAACGGCCAUAUAAGGAAAUGUAUAUGGAGUGACGGUACCAUACCAGAAAGCUCCGGCUAACUACGUGCCAGCAGCCGCGGUAAUACGUAGGGAGCGAGCGUUAUCCGGAUUUAUUGGGCGUAAAGCGUGCGUAGGCGGUUUAUUAAGUUUAAGAUAAAAGCCCGGGGCUCAACUCCGGUUCGUCUUAAAAACUGGUAGGCUUGAGUGUGGUAGAGGUAAAUGGAGUUUCUAGUGUAGCGGUGAAAUGCGUAGAUAUUAGAAGGAACACCAGUGGCGAAGGCGAUUUACUGGGCCAUAACUGACGCUGAGGCACGAAAGCGUGGGGAGCAAAUAGGAUUAGAUACCCUAGUAGUCCACGCCGUAAACGAUGAGUACUAAGUGUUGGAAUUUCCAGUGCUGAAGCUAACGUAUUAAGUACUCCGCCUGAGUAGUACGGUCGCAAGGC
rnacentral:rRNA from 1 species